GUGGGGAAUCUUGGACAAUGGGCGAAAGCCUGAUCCAGCCAUGCCGCGUGAGUGAAGAAGGCCUUAGGGUUGUAAAGCUCUUUUGGCAGGGACGAUAAUGACGGUACCUGCAGAAUAAGCCCCGGCAAACUUCGUGCCAGCAGCCGCGGUAAUACGAAGGGGGCUAGCGUUGUUCGGAAUUACUGGGCGUAAAGCGCACGUAGGCGGGUUGUUAAGUCAGGGGUGAAAUCCUGGAGCUCAACUCCAGAACUGCCUUUGAUACUGGCAACCUAGAGACUGGAAGAGGUUAGUGGAAUUCCCAGUGUAGAGGUGAAAUUCGUAGAUAUUGGGAAGAACACCAGUGGCGAAGGCGGCUAACUGGUCCAGCACUGACGCUGAGGUGCGAAAGCGUGGGGAGCAAACAGGAUUAGAAACCCUAGUAGUCC
rnacentral:rRNA from 1 species